rnacentral:lncRNA from 1 species
GGGGUGUCAGAGGCAGCAUGAGGGUACGGUUUUUGAGUGUUUUCAGAUGAGCAGGUAAUAGGUGUUAUGAACAUGCCAAGCUUUCUCAGUUUGCCUGACUUAGCUUCUUAGGAGAGUCCAUUAAGAAUGAGCUUUAUCCUUAUGUCUUUAAGUACAUUUAAUACAUUCACCUUUUUUUUUUUUUAAAGUAAGGGAUCAUGCCUCAUCAAACAGUAAUGAAACAAAGGCCUCGAGCCAGCUUCUCUAAGAAAUAUAAAUCAAGGUCCUAAAUCACUUCACUAAUACUUGGGUGGGAAAGUUGAAACGAUAUGUGCUUCUUGGUAGCUGUGAUUCUAAUUUUCUCCAAAACUGAGUUAUCUGCCAUCACACAAAAUUUGCUAACAGCCUCACUCAUUAUUACAGAUUCAUGUCACUGCUUGUGAGAGAUGCUUGCUUUCCUCUUCUAUGCUCACAAAAUCGCAGCCUUGGGCAAUUAAUCCUGAUAACACCAAGAGAGACCCAAAUACUUGCUAUAUCAUUUAAUGACUCUUGGCAGAAAGCAAAAACACUUCACUUGAACAUGGUAUUAUAAAAAUAUGUAUUUUACUAACUUUCAUAGGAAAUUUAACUAUUUGAUGAAAUGCCUUUGUAUGUUACCUGAUUUUCAUUUGUACUUAACAAUUUGUCUUAAAGAUGAUACAUAAAAAUGAGAUGAAAAUAUAUAACCUUCCCCAUAAACCAAGAUUUAAUCUUGGAGAUUAAAUGUUGCCCCAAGUGAAAUAGCUAAAUUCAAUGGAUUUUAAUUACUUUUAUCCCCAUGGGCUCCCCGUCCCCCCACCCCCACCUUAAUUUCUUCUAUUUUCCCCUUAGAUUGCAAUGAUUAAUUUGCAAGUUUGGUCCCAUACUAUCCAUGAAACUAAACAAAACAUGUGACAGCCCAGGUGAUUCGAUGCCACCUUUUGACUAAGCAGGCAAAGUGCCCUUAACGCCAGCCUGGGCCCAUGCCCUGACGCGAGGGUGGUGGUGGAGAUGGCCCACGACCCUCUCAGCAGCCACAUGCUUCCAUGCCCUUGGGCCAUGGUCCUCCUGGUGAUGGGCUGCCGGGCGUCUUCGGAGGCAGCUCCCGUCCCCCACUUUCCACUCUCAGGUUGUCCUGAACCCACACUUUCUUGACUCUGAAUAUAACAGCAGCCUAUGGACUCCUUUUCACAGGGCAGCAGCAACUUACCAGGAUACAUGUUUUCCCUUGAAUGAAUCCUGGGGUCUCGGAAGCCACUCCUCCCUGCCCGUGCUUUCUCUAAUAGCUCUUUUGGGCGCUGAGACUCUAAGUGUAAAGCUUAACACUCACCCAGUGGAAGCAACAGCCUUACCGAAAGCCUCCUUAAUGUUGGCUUAGACAGGAAAUGGAAAUGGCCUGCGUUAUCCAUCCUUUAAAGCAUUUCUAGUGCUCAGCCUCCAUGAAAUGGAUUGCUUAUAGGGAGAUAAUGUCUGUUCUAUUCCUUUUUAAGUCUGUGAAAAAUGUCAUCCUGGUUAAUAGGGUGAUUAAAACUCUUUAUGCUCCAGGAGAUAAAUGUGAUUAUGUUUGUCAUACUCAACCCAAGAUAAAGACAGCAAAGAAGGCAAACUUGAAAUUCCAUCACAUUUCCUCUCUUCCAUAUCCAGGGACAUUCAGAGCUCAAUACACAGAUGGUACGUCUCAUAAAGAAUAACAUUAUCUGUUCAACAUUUUUCCUUUCCAUUAACCAAUUUAACAAUAUGCCUCUGGUACAAAAGGAAUAGACAAAUGACGAAAUCUACUGAUAUUCAAGUUCUGACUGUGAAAAACACCACUUGAGUCAUACUGCUUGUUUUCUUUUUAAAUUUCCAUCUGUGCAUUACUUCACCUUUGCUUUUAAGAUGCAAUUGGAGCUGACGCUUGGUCCCUCUUUUAGGGAAUUUGUCCCUGCCAGCCUCCCCUCUGCAGGGGAUUCAUCAUCAUUCUAAUGGGAGUUCCCCUGCCAUCGGUCAAGGACAGCAGAGGUGACAUAUAAGGGUUUUGUAGACACGAGGCAUGCCACUCUAGUAUUAGGACACUCUUUCAGCAACAUAUGUCUAGGCCUCCUCUGUGCCAGCCCUGUGGGAAAGCAGAGCCCCCACCAUGGCCCCUGGCUCCUUCCUAGGGCCUAGCUGCCAUCAGCCUGAUGUGCAGCAGCCUCUGCAGCGGUGCUGACACCAGUUUACAAGGCAUUCUCCAUCUAUGAAAAA